rnacentral:rRNA from 1 species
GGUGAACGCUGGCGGUAGGCCUAACACAUGCAAGUCGAACGGCAGCACAGUAAGAGCUUGCUCUUACGGGUGGCGAGUGGCGGACGGGUGAGGAAUACAUCGGAAUCUACUUUUUCGUGGGGGAUAACGUAGGGAAACUUACGCUAAUACCGCAUACGACCUACGGGUGAAAGCAGGGGAUCUUCGGACCUUGCGCGAUUGAAUGAGCCGAUGUCGGAUUAGCUAGUUGGCGGGGUAAAGGCCCACCAAGGCGACGAUCCGUAGCUGGUCUGAGAGGAUGAUCAGCCACACUGGAACUGAGACACGGUCCAGACUCCUACGGGAGGCAGCAGUGGGGAAUAUUGGACAAUGGGCGCAAGCCUGAUCCAGCCAUACCGCGUGGGUGAAGAAGGCCUUCGGGUUGUAAAGCCGUUUUGUUGGGAAAGAAAAGCAGCAGGUUAAUACCCCGCUGUUCUGACGGUACCCAAAGAAUAAGCACCGGCUAACUUCGUG